rnacentral:rRNA from 1 species
UUGACCUCGAAUCAGGUGGGACUACCCGCUGAACUUAAGCAUAU